GGCAAGAGAGAGAAAGAAAAGCUAAAGGAAAACAGAAAGAGAAUUUUCCUAAGCAUUCGUCAGAAAGGGUGGAAAAGAUCAAGCCUCAUGAUUGUGCUUCCAAUUUAGGGGUUUUUCUGUUCUUACCCCGCGCCCAUCUGCUGGGGAUCCGCUAACAAAUCCACGAAGCCGGAAAUCCUAAUUACACUGCUUAUAUAGGGAAUCUCGAUGGAAUGGAAGUGAUCGCGUGUUCUGCAUAAUAUUCUAAUUCAGCUAGGGCUAAGGGAAGUGUUUGCGAGGUUUUGAUUUACAGGCGUAUGGAUUAUGAGCAACCCUAAACUCUUCUAAUAAAAGCCAGAAGGUUUGCCUUGCACUAUAUGAGACAGAGGAGAUAGCAGGCUAAGCUGUCAGGUUACUCUUUGGCUUGAAAACAACCUUACCAAAGAACACUAUAACCUGCUGUAUGUCUUUGUUACCCAACUUCUAAUUUUAUUUGUGACUUGCCCAUGAAAAAAAAGAUGUCCUAAACACGUAAAUUCUGUUUGGGUGCUUUUACAGUCUUGUCUUGUGACAUGAGAUGUCAUUAUAAUUUCUCUCUUUUUCUUGUUGAUUACUGAGGCCAGUUGAUAAAUGGUUCGAAACUCGGUGGAUAA